CGGGGUGUAGCGCAGAUGGUAGCGCGCGCGGUUCGGGACCGCGAGGUCGUGGGUUCAAGUCCCGCCAUCCCGACCA
rnacentral:tRNA from 1 species